ensembl:lncRNA
CAGUCACAUUUUCCGACGUUAAAACAUGCUCUCCGCUGUCCCCAGCCUUCGCUCGGAGGCGCAUUCCCUUCUCCAAUGGGGAGGAAAAAAAGGUCAGCGGUAAAAAUUUCGCAGGAACUCCAUCAUUGUCCUCACGGGACGUGUUUCGUCAGGAGGAGAGAGCCGGGCGUCUCGCUCUGUCGACACAGAUCCACAUCACGAAACGCAUGGAGAGCAGCACCAGCGAUGGAUUUGAAAAUUUACAAGACAUAAAUAUAAGGCAGAGCCUGCCCCGAAUUGCUCAGCAGCCAACUGCUCUGGUUUUACAAGAAGAGGCACUCUGGGAAGUCCACAUGAGAACAGAUGCGAUCCCCUCCAGCAAUAUCCUGAUGACAACCUAAAAGUUAGUGAAUGUGAAAGUGAAGAUGGCACACUGGGACAAAGGAUGUCCUUGAUGCUUGUCCCGUCUUCAGCAAAUUGAGAGGUAGAUCUGAGCCUCAAGAACUGUGGACAACAAUAAACAACCCUACGAGAAGGAGGCUGGGCUGCUGCCAGAGCCAGAUCUGCUGGAAAUCAGUGUAAUUCCACCGGUAUGCUAUCUGAGAAGGGAACAUCAUCCAUUUUCAGCAGCUGAAGACUCCCUGGGAGUCCCCAUAGAGGC